rnacentral:rRNA from 1 species
GACGAACGCUGGCGGCGUGCUUAACACAUGCAAGUCGAACGGUGAAGCGCCUUCCUUUUUGGUGGGUGUGGAUGAGUGGCGAACGGGUGAGUAACACGUGAGUAACCUGCCCCCUUCUUCUGGAUAACCGCAUGAAAGUGUGGCUAAUACGGGAUAUUCUGGGUCUGUCGCAUGAUGGGUCUGGGAAAGAUAUUGUUUCGGUGGGGGAUGGGCUCGCGGCCUAUCAGCUUGUUGGUGGGGUGAUGGCCUACCAAGGCGGUGACGGGUAGCCGGCCUGAGAGGGUGGACGGUCACACUGGGACUGAGACACGGCCCAGACUCCUACGGGAGGCAGCAGUGGGGAAUAGGGCACAAUGGGCGCAAGCCUGAUGCAGCGACGCCGCGUGAGGGAUGGAGGCCUGCGGGUUGUGAACCUCUUUCGCCAGUGAAGCAGGCCUGCCUCGUUUGUGGGUGGGUUGACGGUAGCUGGAGAAGAAGCGCCGGCUAACUACGUG